rnacentral:lncRNA from 1 species
AACCUUCAUUUGCUACAUAAGUGCAGCAAUCUGUACGUCCGUGGUGACCACAAGACACGAGAAAUUAGGCUCUAUCAUCGAAGGUGGGGGAGGAAUAUCUUCCCGACGGGAAGACUAUCUCGUCGAUCCAGUCGAAUGUUGUGCUCUGGUUCUUGGCAUAGUUGAUUGUAGUCACCCUCUAUCUGGUGCGUCAAUUUGUUGCGGCCAAUCUCCUGUCACCUAUCGCCGGUGAAGAAUACCUGCAAGACAAAGUCCUCACAGAUCGAAAUUGUGUCUGACGGAGAUCCUCCGAUGCUUAAGUCAGAAAGGGGGUUGGUGAACAGCAGAUAAGAAUGUUUAGAGCGACAGAGUCUUAGUCCAAAAUUGCCUUAUCCGUGCUGUUCAUUUACCUCUCUUUUAUAGAUGAUUCUGAUGUAACCGUCAAGCACGUGGUCCCAUUUUUUAUUGUGCUAAAUUAUCGGACCAUAAUCAUAGAGUUAGUGGACUGUUUAUUCCCAUUAAUAGCCGUGACACGUAGUCGAUAAUCGUUCAUGACGGUUAGGAUGUAUUGAGCAGAUAGGCCGACUAUAUGUCGGUAAUACUGAUAAGUCGGUAGU